GGAGCCUUGGCGCAAUGGUAGCGCGUUGGUUUUCGGCAUUGUGCCUGUUCACCAAAGGUUGAGGGUUCGAUCCCCUUGGGCUUCG
rnacentral:tRNA from 1 species